AUGGCUGUCGUCAGCUCGUGUCGUGAGAUGUUCGGUUAAGUCCGCUAACGAGCGCAACCCUCGCUGUGUGUUACAAGUGUCACACGGAACUGCCGGUCAUAAACCGGAGGAAGGUGGGGAUGACGCCAAGUCAGCAUGGCCUUUAUAUCCUGGGCUACACACACGCUACAAUGGGAAGGGACAAUAGGUUGCGAAGCCGCGAGGCGGAGCCAAUCCAGCAAAACUUCCCUCAGUUCAGAUUGCAGGCUGCAACUCGCCUGCAUGAAGUUGGAGUUGCUAGUAAACGCAGGUCAGCCAUACUGCGUUGAAUACGUUCCCGGGGCUC
rnacentral:rRNA from 1 species